rnacentral:rRNA from 1 species
CAGCAGCCGCGGUAAUACGAAGGGUGCAAGCGUUACUCGGAAUUACUGGGCGUAAAGCGUGCGUAGGUGGUGGUUUAAGUCCGUUGUGAAAGCCCUGGGCUCAACCUGGGAAUUGCAGUGGAUACUGGGUCACUAGAGUGUGGUAGAGGAUAGUGGAAUUCCCGGUGUAGCGGUGAAAUGCGUAGAGAUCGGGAGGAACAUCAGUGGCGAAGGCGGCCAUCUGGGACAACACUGACGCUGAAGCACGAAAGCGUGGGGAGCAAACAGGAUUAGAUACCCCCGUAGUCCCUGUCUCUUAUAC